GGAGGGUGCAAGCGUUGUUCGGAAUCACUGGGCGUAAAGCGCGUGUAGGCGGCCUUCUCAGUCUGGUGUGAAAGCCCGGGGCUCACCCCCGGAAGUGCAUUGGAUACUGGAAGGCUGGAGUACCGGAGAGGAGGGUGGAAUUCCUGGUGUAGCGGUGAAAUGCGUAGAUAUCAGGAGGAACACCGGUGGCGAAGGCGGCCCUCUGGACGGAUACUGACGCUGAGACGCGACAGCGUGGGGAGCAAACAGGAUUAGAUACCCUGGUAGUCCACGCCGUAAACGAUGGGUACUAGGUGUUCGGGGUAUUGACCCCCUGAGUGCCGCAGCUAACGCAUUAAGUACCCCGCCUGGGGACUACGGCCGCAAGGCUAAA
rnacentral:rRNA from 1 species